rnacentral:rRNA from 1 species
GAUCCUGGCUCAGGAUGAACGCUGGCGGCGUGCCUAACACAUGCAAGUCGAGCGAAGCACUUUGCUUAGAUUCUUCGGAUGAAGAGGAUUGUGACUGAGCGGCGGACGGGUGAGUAACGCGUGGGUAACCUGCCUCAUACAGGGGGAUAACAGUUAGAAAUGACUGCUAAUACCGCAUAAGACCACAGCACCGCAUUGUGCGGAGGUAAAAACUCCGGUGGUAUGAGAUGGACCCG